rnacentral:rRNA from 1 species
UAGGGAAUAUUAGAAAUGGACGAAAGUCUGAUCUAGCAACACCGCGUGUGCGAAGAAGGCCGUCGGGUCGUAAAGCACUUUUUGGAAGGAAUAGGAAGGAAUGUACUUCCAGAAUAAGUCUCGGCUAACUACGUG